GGUUUUUUGAUUAUAAUAAAAAAUUUAACCUGCUCAAUGAAAUAUUAAAUAGCUGCAGUAUAUUGACUGUACAAAGGUAGCAUAAUCAAUAGUUUUUUAAUUGAAAGCUGGAAUGAAUGGUUUGAUGAAAUAAAAUCUUUUUUUAAUUUAAAAAAUUUAGAAUUUUUUUGUUAGUUAAAAAACUAAUAUAUUUUUAAAAGACGAGAAGACCCUAUAGAGUUUAUUAAUUGGGGUGAUUUUUAAAAGUUAAUAAACUUUAAUUUAUUAUAAUUUCAAAAAUUAUUGUAUUUAAAGAUCUUUAAUUUAAAUUACCUUAGGGAUAACAGUGUAA
rnacentral:rRNA from 2 species